rnacentral:tRNA from 1 species
UGGCCCGGUAGUUCAGCUGGUUAGAAUGCCAGCCUGUCACGCUGGAGGUCGUCGGUUCGAGCCCGAUCCGGGUCGCCAA